GCUGCGUGUCAAGUCUAUGGACUCGACUCUUGCACAUCUACGUCUUAGGUUUGCGCCAAUUCGUGGUAAGCUUGGGUCAUAGAGACUCAUAGGUGUUAUAAAGACUCGCUGGUGUUUGUCUCCUUGAGGCAUACGGCUUUAACCAAAACUCUCAAAGUUUGACCUCAAAUCAGGUAGGAGUACCCGCUGAACUUAAGCAUAUCAAUAAGCGGAGGAAAAGAAACCAACCGGGAUUGCCUUAGUAACGGCGAGUGAAGCGGCAAAAGCUCAAAUUUGAAAUCUGGCGUCUUCGACGUCCGAGUUGUAAUUUGAAGAAGGCGACUUUGUAGCUGGUCCUUGUCUAUGUUCCUUGGAACAGGACGUCAUAGAGGGUGAGAAUCCCGUGUGGCGAGGAUCCCAGUUAUUUGUAAAGUGCUUUCGACGAGUCGAGUUGUUUGGGAAUGCAGCUCUAAGUGGGUGGUAAAUUCCAUCUAAAGCUAAAUAUUGGCGAGAGACCGAUAGCGAACAAGUACAGUGAUGGAAAGAUGAAAAGAACUUUGAAAAGAGAGUGAAAAAGUACGUGAAAUUGUUGAAAGGGAAGGGCAUUUGAUCAGACAUGGCGUUUGCUUCGGCUUUCGCUGGGCCAGCAUCAGUUUUAGCGGUUGGAUAAAUCCUCGGGAAUGUGGCUCUGCUUCGGUAGAGUGUUAUAGCCCGUGGGAAUACAGCCAGCUGGGACUGAGGA
rnacentral:rRNA from 1 species